AUUGAACGCUGGCGGCAGGCCUAACACAUGCAAGUCGAGCGGAUGAAGGGAGCUUGCUCCUGGCUUCAGCGGCGGACGGGUGAGUAAUGCCUAGGAAUCUGCCUGGUAGUGGGGGAUAACGUCAGGAAACGGGCGCUAAUACCGCAUACGUUCUGAGGGAGAAAGUGGGGGAUCUUCGGACAUCACGCUAUCAGCUGAGCCUAGGUCGGAUUAGCUAGUUGGUGGGGUAAAGGCCUACCAAGGCGACGAUCCGUAACUGGUCUGAGAGGAUGAUCAGUCACACUGGAACUGAGACACGGUCCAGACUCCUACGGGAGGCAGCAGUGGGGAAUAUUGGACAAUGGGCGAAAGCCUGAUCCAGCCAUGCCGCGUGUGUGAAGAAGGUCUUCGGAUUGUAAAACUCUUUUAGUAGGGAGGAAGGACAGUAUAAUAAUAUCUGGCUGUUUUGACGUUACCAACAGAAUAAGCACCGGCUAACUUCGUG
rnacentral:rRNA from 1 species